rnacentral:rRNA from 1 species
CGGGUGAGUAAUGUCUGGGAAACUGCCUGAUGGAGGGGGAUAACUACUGGAAACGGUAGCUAAUACCGCAUAACGUCGCAAGACCAAAGAGGGGGACCUUCGGGCCUCUUGCCAUCGGAUGUGCCCAGAUGGGAUUAGCUAGUAGGUGGGGUAACGGCUCACCUAGGCGACGAUCCCUAGCUGGUCUGAGAGGAUGACCAGCCACACUGGAACUGAGACACGGUCCAGACUCCUACGGGAGGCAGCAGUGGGGAAUAUUGCACAAUGGGCGCAAGCCUGAUGCAGCCAUGCCGCGUGUAUGAAGAAGGCCUUCGGGUUGUAAAGUACUUUCAGCGGGGAGGAAGGCGAUAAGGUUAAUAACCUUGUCGAUUGACGUUACCCGCAGAAGAAGCACCGGCUAACUCCGUGCCAGCAGCCGCGGUAAUACGGAGGGUGCAAGCGUUAAUCGGAAUUACUGGGCGUAAAGCGCACGCAGGCGGUCUGUCAAGUCGGAUGUGAAAUCCCCGGGCUCAACCUGGGAACUGCAUUCGAAACUGGCAGGCUAGAGUCUUGUAGAGGGGGGUAGAAUUCCAGGUGUAGCGGUGAAAUGCGUAGAGAUCUGGAGGAAUACCGGUGGCGAAGGCGGCCCCCUGGACAAAGACUGACGCUCAGGUGCGAAAGCGUGGGGAGCAAACAGGAUUAUAUACCCUGGUAGUCCACGCCGUAAACGAUGUCGACUUGGAGGUUGUGCCCUUG